rnacentral:tRNA from 1 species
UGGCUCAGUGGUAGAGCGCUUGCCUUGCAUGCAGGAGGCCCUGGGUUUGAUUCCUCAG